UACGAAGGGUGCAAGCGUUAAUCGGAAUUACUGGGCGUAAAGGGUGCGUAGGCGGUUCGUUAAGUCUGUCGUGAAAUCCCCGGGCUCAACCUGGGAAUGGCGAUGGAUACUGGCGAGCUAGAGUGUGUCAGAGGAUGGUGGAAUUCCCGGUGUAGCAGUGAAAUGCGUAGAGAUCGGGAGGAACAUCAGUGGCGAAGGCGGCCAUCUGGGACAACACUGACGCUGAAGCACGAAAGCGUGGGGAGCAAACAGG
rnacentral:rRNA from 1 species